rnacentral:rRNA from 1 species
UACGUAGGUGGCGAGCGUUAUCCGGAAUGAUUGGGCGUAAAGGGUGCGUAGGCGGUCGGAUAAGUUAGAGGUGAAAUCCCGAGGCUCAACUUCGGAAUUGCCUCUGAUACUGUUCGGCUAGAGAGUAGUUGCGGUAGGCGGAAUGUGUGGUGUAGCGGUGAAAUGCAUAGAGAUCACACAGAACACCGAUUGCGAAGGCAGCUUACAAAUCUAUAUCGGACGCUGAGGCACGAAAGCGUGGGGAGCAAACAGG